AUCACUUCUUGACUUUUGGCUAAGAUCAAGUAUAGUAUUUGUUCUUAUUAGUUUAAUAUCUGAACAUGUCCUCUCUCUGAGGACGAUAUAUUACAUGCAUUUCUGAAGCAGGGAGAUGGAAUAGGAGCUUGCUCUGUCCACUCUGUGCAUCGACCUGGUUUGGCAGUGCUUCUAGGAAUGGUGCAGCACAC